rnacentral:rRNA from 1 species
GACGAACGCUGGCGGCGUGCUUAACACAUGCAAGUCGAACGGUAAGGCCCUUCGGGGUACACGAGUGGCGAACAGGUGAGUAACACGUGGGUGAUCUGCCCUGCACUUCGGGAUAAGCCUGGGAAACUGGGUCUAAUACCGGAUAGGACUCCGGACUGCAUGGUCUGGGGUGGAAAGCUUUUGCGGUGUGGGAUGGGCCCGCGGCCUAUCAGCUUGUUGGUGGGGUGAUGGCCUACCAAGGCGACGACGGGUAGCCGGCCUGAGAGGGUGACCGGCCACACUGGGACUGAGAUACGGCCCAGAGUCCUACGGGAGGCAGCAGUGGGGAAUAUUGCACAAUGGGCGCAAGCCUGAUGCAGCGACGCCGCGUGAGGGAUGACGGCCUUCGGGUUGUAAACCUCUUUCAGCACCGACGAAGCGCAAGUGACGGUAGGUGCAGAAGAAGGACCGGCCAACUACGUGCCAGCAGCCGCCGCUG